rnacentral:lncRNA from 1 species
AUGGCUCAUCCACGCAGCACGCCGGCAGCUCAUCAUCCCAGCCCUCCCAGCCGGCCACUGGCUGCGGGGACAGCCCUCGUCCCCUCGCCCAGGGGCAGCGGCACGGCACAGCCUGCGUUGUGUGGCACGGGGACACUCGGAGGAGUCAGGCAGGGCAUGUCCCCUGUUGGGCUGAGCCCAGGGAAGCCAGGGAGGCUUCAGCAGGUCUGUAGCUUGGGGUUGAGUUCUUCUGCACCCACGGGUGCUUUGCUUCUCUUUUGGGAGUGGGCGCACUCUGAGUGCGAUGGGGCCGGCUGCUCUCACCUGGCACAGGCUGAUGCCCUGGUGCUGCACAGCGAGGGGCUCCCAUCCCGCAGGCAGGGCUGGAUGGAGGCAGCGAGCGCACGAUGGAGCAUCCCCACACCCCUGCAUCUCUGUCCCCACACCCCCCUCGGGGUCACCCACCCCAGGGAUCAUCCCUGUGCCCGCACAUGGUGCCACAGACAAGGCCCCCAUCGGGGGUCGGCGCGGCAUUGCCGGGGCUGCGCAGCGCAGCAGGUCGGGUGCUGCGGGUGCUGCCCGUCCCUGCCCCCGCCGCAGGAUGUGCCGCUUUCUGCAUCUUCAGCUCCCAUCGCCAUAGCAACAGGCUCAGCGCUUGGGUACCCGCCGCGCCGGCUCCUGCAUCCCGCUCCGCCAUCCUGCCACCGGGACCGGGGCGGCGGGUGCUGGCAGCGCGGUGCGGUGCGGCACGGCACGGCUUGUCAUCCCGGGAGCUGGGGGCGAUCGGUGCCUCAGGCACCACACCAGCAUCCCGUUGGACGUCCCGCUCAGGCUGAGCGGGGCCACGGAGCCCUUCUCUUCCUGAAGCAUCAGAAAAUAACAUCCGUUCAAACUUCCUCCCUGAACGGGAUGGGAAAGAGGAAAAAAAAAUCACUUUCUGGGAACGGGUUUUUUUGGCAGCAAGCUCCAGAGAAGGGGCUGGGAUUGGAGGGAUCCUGCCAGGAAGGCAGAGGGCACAACACCAUCCCCGAAGGGCAGGGUGGCAGCAUGCAGCAGGCGAUGCUGGAGCUGAAAAAGCAUCACCACAGGGCAAAAUGGGGCUGA